GUGAGUCGGAGCUCUAUGGAGGUGGCAGCGGGUACCGAGUGGCGGCUGCAGCAGCGACUCCUCUGAGCUGAGUUUGAGGCCGUCCCCGACUCCUUCCUCCCCCUUCCCUCCCCCUUUUUUUUGUUUUCCGUUCCCCUUUCCCCUCCCUUCCCUAUCCCCGACGACCGGAUCCUGAGGAGGCAGCUGCGGUGGCAGCUGCUGAGUUCUCGGUGAAGGUAUUUCAUUUCUCCUGUCCCCUCCCCUCCCCACCCCAUCUAUUAAUAUUAUUCUUUUGAAGAUUCUUCGUUGUCAAGCCGCCAAAGUGGAGAGUGCGAUUGCAGAAGGGGGUGCUUCUCGUUUCAGGUACUUGUAGAUUUAUUUUGGGGAAUCCUUUUGAAAAGGCCAGUCUCAAAAAGUAGUUAACACAGCAAAUAAGUCCGACUUAAUGGGCUGCAAUUUUCAUUUGAAAAGUUCUUAAGUUUUCAUUGACAGCCUUCUAAGAACUGCCAUCUGAAGAAUAAAUAAAAUCAAUUAUUUGCCUUUC
rnacentral:lncRNA from 10 species